AACACACAAUCAAAUUACGAAUUGUUCGCCAAACAACUACGAGUAAUACUUAAAACUUAAAAGACUUGACGGUACUUCACCCGACCUAGAGGAGCCUGUCUAAAAACCGACAAUCCACGAUUAACCCAACCACCUCUUGCCCAACAGUCUAUAUACCGCCGUCGCCAGCUUACCUUGUAAAAGAAAUAAAGUGAGCCAAACAGUAACACACUAAAACGACAGGUCGAGGUGUAACUUAUGAGGAGGCCAAGAUGGGCUACAUUCUCCAACAGAGAAUACGAACAACACCAUGAAAUUAGUGUUUGAAGGAGGAUUUAACAGUAAGAUAAGAACAAAAUACUUAACUGAACACAACGCAAUGAAGUGCGCACACACCGCCCGUCAUCCCUGUCACCAC
rnacentral:rRNA from 1 species